AAUUUAUUUUUAUUUUAUUAAUAAAAUAUAUUAUUAUUAUUAUUAAUUAAAUAUAUUAUUAUUAUUAUUAUUAUUAUUAUUAAUAGUAACAUCCUGAAGCUUCAGAAAGCUUCAGGAUGAAAUGUUUUAUUUAAACAUCCCAUCCCCACAUCAUCAUCAUCCCAUCCCCACAUCAUCAUCAUCUUCUUCUUCUUCUUCUUCUUUAUUUAUUUUUUCUCUGUUGCUGCAACGCAGCUCACUCUCUCUCUCUCUCCUCACGUUCUCUCUCUCUCUCUCCUCGAUUUCGUGACGGAUUUUCGCCCGAUCGAAAAUCCGAAGAUACCACUGGACUCCAUUCGCUGCUGCCGUCAUUUCUACUGGAGCGGAUCGAUAGUAGGAGCGGCGUAGGCAUAUUCCCUGGGGAAUUAAAUUUCGGGCGCCAAGGGCGUGAAAUUUUGGGUUCUAAGGAAUUUCUGAAUAGUCAGGAGUCCCUGAGAGACCGGCGGGUCAAGACCGCCGUUGAGAUUAGUGAGAUUACCCUGUGAGGAGGGUAAGAUUUUGUACUAGGGUUAGAAUUAUUUUGUGUUUGACCCUAGAGAUAUUUUGAUGUACAUGAGGAUGUAUAGUAGUACAGUAUCAUAAUGUUAUAGAAAGCUCUGGUAUUAUAUUUUAUGACUGGAUGUUUGAGAUUUUAUGUGUACUGCUGCUAGGUUUUCCGCUGUGUAUGACAGGUGUCCCCGCUACCCACGGGUUCGGGUUGACCAUUUUAUUUAUUAUGUGAUAUUUUAUGUUAUGAAA